rnacentral:rRNA from 1 species
CCCUACGGGGUGCGGAAAGACACUUCUUGCCCAGACGCUGGCAAAGAUGCUCAACGUUCCCUUUGCUAUGACUGAUGCCACUACGCUUACUGAGGCGGGUUACGUUGGCGAAGACGUUGAAAAUAUACUGCUGCGGCUUCUGCAGGCUGCGGAUUUUGACAUUGCCGCAGCUCAGAGGGGCAUCAUCUACAUCGAUGAGAUCGACAAAAUAUCAAGAAAAUCCGAAUCGGUCUCAAUAACCCGGGACGUCUCCGGAGAAGGAGUGCAGCAGGCUCUCCUCAAGAUAAUAGAGGGCACUGUGGCAAAUAUCCCACCCAAGGGAGGGCGCAAGCAUCCAAGCCAGGAAAUGAUACCUAUGGACACAAGCAACAUCCUCUUCAUCUGCGGAGGGGCAUUUGACGGACUCGAAAAAAUCAUUGCGAAGAGGACGACCCAGAAGUCCCUUGGUUUCGGCGGGAGAGC